UACGGAGGGUGCGAGCGUUGUUCGGAAUUACUGGGCGUAAAGCGCGUGCAGGCGGCCGAUUAAGUCAGGUGUGAAAGCCCGGGGCUCACCUCCGGAAGUGCGCUUGAAACUGGUCGGCUAGAGUACGGGAGAGGGAAGCGGAAUUCCUGGUGUAGCGGUGAAAUGCGUAGAUAUCAGGAGGAACACCGGCGGCGAAGGCGGCUUCCUGGACCGAUACUGACGCUGAGACGCGAAAGCGUGGGGAGCAAACAGG
rnacentral:rRNA from 1 species